rnacentral:rRNA from 1 species
UACGUAGGAUCCAAGCGUUGUCCGGAUUUACUGGGUGUAAAGGGUGCGCAGGCGGACUGGGUAAGUCUGGGGUGAAAUCUCGCCGCUUAACGGCGAAACUGCCUUAGAUACUAUCAGUCUUGGAUAAGCGAGAGGUUCGUGGAAUUCCGAGUGUAGCAGUGAAAUGUGUAGAUAUCGGAAGAACACCAGUGGCGAAGGCAGCGAACUGGCGCUUUAUCGACGCUCAUGGCACGAAAGCAUGGGGAUCAAACAGG